CUACAGCAGAUCUGUUGAGAGUAAAACUAACAAGGAUCAUGCAAUCCCAGGCAAUUUCACUCACAGCAGGCAUUGUAAGUAAAGCA
rnacentral:ncRNA from 2 species